CCAGCACCUGCGGUAAUUCCAGCUCUAAUAGCGUAUAUUAAAGUUGUUGCAGUUAAAAAGCUCGUAGUCGGAUGUCGGGCUCGGGCAGGCUGUCGGCUUCGGUCGGACGGCAGGCUCGGGUCUUUCUGCCUGAGGAACCCGUGGCACUUAACUGUGCGGCGUGGGGACGCAGGCCGUUUACUUUGAAAAAAUUAGAGUGUUCAAAGCAGGCCUACGCUUGAAUACAUUAGCAUGGAAUAAUGGAAUAGGAACUCGUUUCUAUUUUGUUGGUUUUCGGAAAUCGAGUUAAUGAUUAAUAGGGACAAUUGGGGGCAUUAGUAUUCAGACGACAGAGGUGAAAUUCUUGGACCGUCUGAAGACUAACUACUGCGAAAGCAUUUGCCAAGAGUGUUUUCA
rnacentral:rRNA from 1 species